UUUCUUUGUUACCGAGAAGUGCAUAUUUUUUAUAUUAUUUCUUCCUUUGAGUAAAAACAAGAUUAAGUUUCUGGAUUUUCUUCAUCCUUUUGUGUCAGUAAUUUGCAAUUAGUUUUUCUGUGCAAAUUCAGUUUGAUCCUUUUCCCACUAAGUUUAUACGUUUUUGUUGGAAAAUGUAUAUCUUAACAACUUACGGCAUGACAUCUUUUCUCACUAACUUGUUUUCUUUCAGCCGAAACUCUAACAGCUGGGAAUCCUAUCUCGAUCCUACAUUUAUGUCAUUAAUUAAGGAUCCUGACCAGAGUAGGAUAGAGCAACAGGAAAGGGUGCCCAAACACAAAGUGGUUUCAAUUGUGCCAAGCUUCUUGGAUGGUGACCUUAGUGGCCCACCAUUCUCUGCUGCUGAAGAGUAAUCUCUCCAUUCAAGAUAUCUUGCCAAAGCAUAUUCUCUUAAUCUCACAGAUAUCGCUGAAAUGAAGAUAAUCUAGUGGUGUGGACAGUGAGUGAAGGCCGGUCAUGGUUGUUAUAGGAGCUCAUUUUCUUUUGCGGUGCCUUGAUUUGGAGCGUUUUGUGCUGUAUGUUGUAAAGGAGUUUGAACCCUUGAUUCAGAAGCCAUACAGCAUUAUUUACAUUCACUCCGCAGCCUCUUUGCAACCGUAUUGGUAUUUGAUUUGUUGAAGACAACCGGAUGAAGUGAUUGCAACAGAUAUUGGGUUGGAAGCACAAGGGAAAUUUGCACGCUAUAUAUGUUUUGCAUCCGACACUGGGAUUGAGGGCAGCAAUCUUCUCCCUGCAGCUUUUGGUGGACGGCGAGGUGAUAUGAGGUAUAAUGGAGGGUCCUAGUAACACGGGAGGCUAAUAAUCAAGGUGAUGAGGUGGUCAAAAGUUAAGGAGAGGUGGUAGUCAAGGUUGGAAAGCUCUUGCUAACUUGGUCCAAAAAGGGAAGCAACAAUCAAAGCCGGAAAUUUCCUUUGGGACUCGGCUCUCUCAUCUCAGUCAUAAGUAUGCCUCUCGAUAUGCUCUCAGUCGGCUUCUUAGAUGUCGGGCCCAUAGGGCUCAGUCCUUUCAUUUCUUUUGGACACCAUACCAAUCUACUUCUGAUCGGCUUCUUAGCUAGUCGGGUCCUAGGACUCAGUCCCCUCAUUUCUUUAGGGUACCGUCUUAGGCUACUCUUGAUCGACUUCUUAGCUGGUUGGAGCUUAGGGGUCAAUCCUCUCAUUUCUUCUCAGCACCAUCUCAGGUUACUCUUGGUCGACUUCUUAGCUGGUCGAGUCCUUAAGACUCAAUCCUCUCAUUUCUCCUUGGCAUCGUCCCAGUCUACUCUUGAUCUGUCCUAACAUCGGUCAAACUAUUGUCAGGGGAUAACAUUGUAAUGGAAUUAUAAUAACUUGUUAGACAAUAACGGUUAUUCGUUAGCGAAUAUUUUGAUACUUUGUCACAUGUAUAACACGGAAUCUUCCUUUACCUAAUGAGAAUUCAUCGUACUUCAUCCAUCUUCUCACGUACCUUAAUACACAACAUUCUUUGAUGCUUCAUUAUUGCGGAGGUUAUAAAAGGUAGUAUAAAAAGGGAGGUCCUCAACGUUAGCCAGGUACACAGACAUAUGCAUUUACUACAAUACUAAUUGUCAUCUUCUUUCUGCACUUUUUGCUUUGUGGUGCUCCUGACUUGAGCGUAGGGGGACUUGUGCUAGGGACCUCUUCUUUAAUUUGUGCUUUAACACUUCCGUGGGAUCUCUCUGCGUGUGUGCAGGCUCGUGGGUAUUAUUGGCAGCCCUCAUUCACACGCCCACUUCGUUGAAAGGUGAAAAGCCUGCAACGCUCUUGCAAGUCCUAGAUCUAGGUCAUCUUUUUGUCAACAUCCUUAUCCUCAUCACAAGCUCCCCACAUCUGACUCAGCUUUCGAACAAGAUCAAAUUUGGUGUUAUCUGUGAGAAUCUCUCUGCUUGAUUUGCAACAUUAAGAUGGAUGACGUCGGAAAACUCUCUACCAUCACCAUGAUCCCAGAGGAUAUUGACAAACAUAUGGUCAUCACAACGCAGAAGGAAAGAUGGGAUUUAGGCAUUGUCGAUCGAGGCAUUCGAAGCUUAUGGUUCCUGACAAGACCUUUAUUCUCCAUAUUCUCAGGCGGUACAAGUGUUGGAUUCUUAUCAUAUUAUAGUCUCCCCCUUCACUUCACGGGUAUUCAGGAGUUGAAGUAUCGAGACAGAUCCUCAGUCAGUCAACAAGUUAAUUUUUCUAUUAUAUUUUCUCUUUUGGUCAUAGGAUUUGUUACAGCUCCUUGAUCAAAGAGUAAGGGUCACACUCCAUGAUAAAAGACUAGGGUCCUAGAUGAUCAGACACUAGGGACAGCUAUACGAUCAGACACUAGGGCAUAGCUCCCCGAUUAGAGACUAAAGGUAUAGUUCCUCGAUCAAACACUAGGGGUACAAUUCUCUGAUCCGACACUAGAGGCACAACUCCUCGAUCAGAUACUUGCGGUACAACUUCUCGAUUAGGAUCUAGGGGCCUCACUCUCCGAUUAUGGGCUAGGGGCUUCACUCUUCAAUUUCUGGUUAGGGAUCUCACUCUCCGAUUAUGGACUAGAGGCUCAGCUCCCCGAUCAAGUGUGCUACGAGGUUUGCUCCCUCAUAUUGCUAAGAGCUUUGUUUUCACUACAUCAGAGCCUAACCUCCUUCGUUCGGGGUCGAGUUAUCUCCACUAGUAUCAGACCAUAGCAUCGCCACUGGUCUUGGACCAGAGUAUCUCCAUUGGUCUGGCAGAGUAUCACCAUCGGUUUUGAAUCGGUGUAUUGUCAUUGGUCUUAGACUAGAGUAUCUCUAUCGGUAUAUCCUCUUCAGGGCUCAACCUCUCCUAUUUAGGGUUGAGCUAUCUCCAUUGGUCUUGGACCAGAGUAUCGUUAUCAGUCUUGGACUGAAGUAUUACCACUAGUUUGAGACUAGAGUA